rnacentral:rRNA from 1 species
UACGUAGGUGGCAAGCGUUGUCCGGAUUUAUUGGGCUUAAAGGGUGCGUAGGCGGCCUAUUAAGUCAGUGGUGAAAUAUCUCAGCUCAACUGAGAGUGUGCCAAUGAUACUGAUGGGCUUGAGUACAGAUGAGGUAGGCGGAAUUGACGGUGUAGCGGUGAAAUGCUUAGAUAUCGUCAAGAACACCUAUAGCGAAGGCAGCUUACUAGGCUGUAACUGACGCUGAGGCACGAAAGUGUGGGGAGCAAACAGG